UCUUCUUCUUCUCAAUUAGAUCGGAAAAUAAACAAACCCCGCCACCACCAUCACCAUCUCCGUCGCCAGCUUCGCUCCAGCACCACCUCCACUAAUCUCAUCACCAAUUCUCGCAUCACCUCCUAUACUUCCACCAAAACCUCCUGAAUAAUCAGUCUGAAUUGGUUUUCACUUGGUUAAAACCUAAUCUAAAGCAUCAGAAACAUCAAACUUAUCUCGAUUUCAACUGGAUUGGGCAUGAAGAACCUAAAAUCGAUGAUUGCAGUUUGUUAUUACAGACUUUUUCGCAUCGAUAUGGAAGAGGAAAUGAAUAUCGUCAUCAAUUUAUUGGAUCUGAAGAUUAAAUCAUCCAAAACGAUUAUAAAUUUAUCUUCUUUCUCUUGCUUGAAGUUUCUACUGGUGGUGGUGGUAUUGUAAGUGGUGGUGAUGUAGAUAGAAAGAUUGAUGGAGAUUUUGGUGGUUCCGGUUGGAAUGGUGAAAUUUGGCGAUUGAGAUAGUGGUGGUUAAAAUUGUUUGUUGUGGUGGUGGUGGUUGGAGAUUGUCUUCCGGAUGCGAAUAUACAAAUGAUGGUGGUGGAGCUUAUUCCCAAGGUCAGUACUUGUCAGGACCCACCAGUCAGCUGCUGAUUUGAUUAUUUUGGUAAUCGCGAUAUCGUACAUUUUCAAAGGGUUUCACAUUGGAUAACUGGCUUAGAAAUUGGUGGAAAAAUCACACAGGCUCUCAUGAAUCACUUCAUGUAUGCUACUGGAGGGCUUCUCGCAGGGUUCAUUAUCACUGCAAAAGACUAAAAUGAACCUCAUUUUCGUGACUAGUAUUUCUGUAAGUUUAUUACAAUGAGAGCUAUGAUUUUUGUUGAGGUUUAAACGAUAUAUAUAUAUAUAUAUAUAUAUAAAGGAGGGUAUAUAUAUAUAUAGUGGUUAGGGGAGUGAUUUUGUAUAUACACUAUCUAAAGGAGGGUAUAUAUAUAUAUAUUGUGAUGUUUCUUUAUGUUGAAUGAAGUAAACGAUACCCUCAUCAUAUGCAUUUCCCUACUCUUUUGCACUCAUGUCGAUGUGUUCGGUAUGCAUUUAUUCGUCUAUUGGAUGUGAUUUUGAUAUGUUAUCUGCAAUAUUGAU